AUAUAUAUAUAUAUAUACAUUGACAACAAUGGUAUAUAUUGCUAUACAUCAAUGCGUACACAAAAUGUGCUAACUCUAUAUAUCACUGAUAAUAAGUCAUGCUCUUAUACAUUUGUGUAUAUAUAAACACUUUAUACAAAUGCAUAUGAAUGUACGUAUAUACAUAUCAAUGUACAUAUACGUUAAUAACUGUAUAAAUUGAUAAUAAGUGUCUAUUUGGUAAUAUAUCACUGCAUAUAGAAAUGUGUAUAUGAAGCUAUCAAUGCGUAAGGGUGCAUGUGCGUGCGCAUAUAUGACUGAUAGCAAGUGCAUAUACAUUGAUGUAUAUGACUAUCAAUACACUUAUGACCAGUCUAUACAGGUUUUUGCAUAUAUGUACACAUAUUUACAUACACACACAGAUAUAUAUAUAUAUAUACAUACUACACAUAUAUAUAAUUAUUACGACUAUUUGUAUAUGUAUUGAUUUAUAAACCAUAUACUAUUGUUUUCAGUGAAUAUUAAUAUAUAUAUAUAUAUAUGUAUAUAUAAAUUCUGAUGCAUAUAAUCAUACAAUACUUUAGUUAUCAGUUAUAUAUACACUUGUUAGUGUGUAAAAAAUACAUUGAUAUGUGUGUGUGAUGUUUGUAUAUAUAUAUGAAGUGUAUAUACUGAAAUGGGUAUAUGUAUAAAGUGCAUAACCGUAUAAAUAUAGAGCAAAUUACAUACAUUCAUAUACACAUUCAUGUAUAUGACUAUACAUACACUUACUAUCAACUUACACACACAUAACAUAUAUAUAUAUUACACAUAAAUGUGUGUUAUUAAUGUAUAUAUGCACAGGAUAUACGCAUACAGAUGCACCCUCAUGCGUUGUUAAGUGCAUAUAUAUUGUGCAUGUAGUAUACCAAUGCAUACAUUCUAUAUACAUUAAUAUAUAUGACCAUAUAGAUACUUAUUAGCAGUAUAUAUAUAUAGUGUGUAUAUAUAUAGGACAUGUAUGUACUGAUAUGUUUGUAUGUGUAUAUAUACACUUGCUAUCAGUUAUAUAUACGUUGAUAUGUGGCAAAUGCACCCUUAUGCAUUGUUAAGUUCAAACAUAUAUUUUUACAUGCACUGAUAUAUAUGACCAUAUAGACACUUAUUAUCAGUUUAUCAUUUAUUAUCAGUUUAUAUAAUUAUAAAUAUAUAUAUACACUGAUAUGUAUACAUGCAAACUCAUAUGGAUAUGUAUAAAGUGUUUAUACAUACACUAAUGUAAAAGACCAUUUAUGUAUAUAGAAUGCAUGUAUUAGUGUAUACACAAUAUAUAUAUAUAUAUACACACAUCAACGCGUAAUGGUGCAUGUACGUGCGUAUAUCAGUGUAUAUAUACACACAUCAACGCGUAAUGGUGCAUAUACGUGCGUAUCAGUGUAUAUAAAAGAUUGCAAGCAAGUGUAUACGUACAUGCAAAACAUAUCAGUAUAUACUUAUCAUAUAUAUACUCACAUUAGUCCAUAUACAAUAUGCAUAUAUGUGUAGUAUAUGUAUA
rnacentral:lncRNA from 1 species